AUUGGACGCUGGCGGCAGGCCUAACACAUGCAAGUCGAGCGGAGCGGCGGACGGGGGGGUAAUGACUAGGAAUCUGCCUGGUAGUGGCGGAUAACGUCCGGAAACGGGCGCUAAUGCCGCAUACUAGCAGAUGAGUCUAGGUGGGAUUAGCUAGUUGGUGGGGUAAAGGCCUACCAAGGCGACGAUCCGUAACUGGUCUGAGAGGAUGAUCAGUCACACUGGAACUGAGACACGGUCCAGACUCCUACGGGAGGCAGCAGUGGGGAAUAUUGGACAAUGGGCGAAAGCCUGAGCGAGCCAUGCCGCGUGUGUGAAGAAGGUCUUCGGAUUGUAAAGCACUUUUAGUUGGGAGGCGGUACCAAAAGAAUAAGCACCGGCUAACUACGUGCCAGCAGCCGCGGUAAUAC
rnacentral:rRNA from 1 species